GCAGCGGGGCUGGACAGGAAACGACGGAGCUCCUCAUCAGCUCCUCGCUGCUCAGCUCCGGGAGGGAAGAAUGGGAAAAGGCGACGGGACGAGGCAGCGUGUGGAGACAUGAAGACAACGGGCUGUUUUUAAACUAACUCACAUCUUUAUAAAAACAGAUAGACACACUUAAACCGCCGGGACUUUUCUGCUAUUCUCCUCCAUCCGAGGGCUGGAGGGAGAUUUCGCUCCCGUUGGAAAACGCAGCCUCCUCUUUGUGAGUCUCAUUUUCCCUGGGAUAAAGAACCCGGUCGGGAAGUGGAGUGGAGGAUUUGUCUGACCUUAAACCUCAAAAGGAAGGAGAUCAAGUCACUUCAGAGAUGGAGCAGGUAUCAGAUGAUGAGUUGGACCAUGGAGCAGAGGAGGACAGUGAUAAGGAGGACCAAGACCUGGACAAGAUGUUUGGAGCCUGGCUGGGAGAACUGGACAAGCUCACACAGAGUCUGGAUGACGGCAGGCCACAGAAAGCACUGCAGAAGCCUC